UACGGGGGGAGCAAGCGUUGUUCGGAUUUACUGGGCGUAAAGGGCGCGUAGGCGGCCAGCACAAGUCAGUUGUGAAAUCUCCGGGCUUAACUCGGAAAGGUCAACUGAUACUGUGCGACUAGAGUGCGGAAGGGGCAACUGGAAUUCUCGGUGUAGCGGUGAAAUGCGUAGAUAUCGAGAGGAACACCUGCGGCGAAGGCGGGUCUCUGGGCCGAUACUGACGUGAGGAGCGAAAGCGUGGGGAGCAAACAGG
rnacentral:rRNA from 1 species